AUUGAACGCUGGCGGCAUGCCUUACACAUGCAAGUCGAACGGUAACGGGUCCUUCGGGAUGCCGACGAGUGGCGAACGGGUGAGUAAUAUAUCGGAACGUGCCCAGUAGUGGGGGAUAACUGCUCGAAAGAGCAGCUAAUACCGCAUACGACCUGAGGGUGAAAGGGGGGGAUCGCAAGACCUCUCGCUAUUUGAGCGGCCGAUAUCAGAUUAGCUAGUUGGUGGGGUAAAGGCCUACCAGGGCAACGAUCUGUAGUUGGUCUGAGAGGACGACCAGCCACACUGGGACUGAGACACGGCCCAGACUCCUACGGGAGGCAGCAGUGGGGAAUUUUGGACAAUGGGCGCAAGCCUGAUCCAGCAAUGCCGCGUGCAGGAAGAAGGCCUUCGGGUUGUAAACUGCUUUUGUCAGGGAAGAAAUCUUCUGGGCUAAUACCCCGGGAGGAUGACGGUACCUGAAGAAUAAGCACCGGCUAACUACGUGCCAGCAGCCGCCGUAA
rnacentral:rRNA from 1 species